GUGGACGUACACACCAAGGCCGGACCGUCAUCAACGGUCGUGGACAUACAGGCCAUGAAGCAUCUGGUUUACCUUGGAAAACUCAAAAGUACUAUUCCCUGUAAAUUGUACAUUUUUGAUUAUUUCGAGAAGGGUCUCCUAUUAUAUAAAGGAGACCGUAACAUUGUAAAAGGGGGAUCUCUCGAUCUCCCUCUCCCUCUCUCUAGAAAAUAUGUAAAGAAAUGAGAAGAUAUGUGAUUCAAUAUUUUCAUC
rnacentral:lncRNA from 1 species